UACGUGGCAUACGGCUCAGUAACACGUAGUCAACAUGCCCAGGGGACGUGGAUAACCUCGGGAAACUGAGGAUAAACCGCGAUAGGCCAUGAUUUCUGGAAUGGUUCAUGGCCGAAAUCUAUAUGGCCCCUGGAUUGGACUGCGGCCGAUCAGGCUGUUGGUGAGGUAAUGGCCCACCAAACCUGUAACCGGUACGGGCUCUGAGAGGAGGAGCCCGGAGAUGGGCACUGAGACAAGGGCCCAGGCCCUAUGGGGCGCAGCAGGCGCGAAAUCUCUGCAAUAGGCGAAAGCUUGACAGGGUUACUCUGAGUGGUUCCCGUUAAGGGGAUCUUUUGGCACCUUUAAAAAUGGUGCAGAAUAAGGGGUGGGCAAGUCUGGUGUCAGCCGCCGCGGUAAUACCAGCACCCCGAGUGGUCGGGACGAUUAUUGGGCCUAAAGCAUCCGUAGCCGGUACUGCAAGUCUUCCGUUAAAUCCACCUGCUUAACAGUUGGGCUGCGGGGGAUACUACAGCGCUAGGAGGCGGGAGAGGCAAGCGGUACUCAAUGGGUAGGGGUAAAAUCCGCUGAUCCAUUGAAGACCACCAGUGGCGAAGGCGGCUUGCCAGAACGCGCUCGACGGUGAGGGAUGAAAGCUGGGGGAGCAAACCGGAUUAGAUACCCGGGUAGUCCCAGCUGUAAACGAUGCA
rnacentral:rRNA from 1 species